GACGAACGCUGGCGGCGUGCUUAACACAUGCAAGUCGAACGGAAAGGCCCUGCUUUUGUGGGGUGCUCGCGUGGCGAACGGGUGAGUAACACGUGAGUAACCUGCCCUUUACUUUGGGAUAACUUCAGGAAACUGCGGCUAAUACCUGAUAGGAGCUCCUGCUGCAUGGUGGGGGUUGGACAGUUUCGGCGGUUGGGGAUGGACUCGCGGCUUAUCAGCUUGUUGGUGGGGUAGUGGCUUACCAAGGCUUUGACGGGUAGCCGGCCUGAGAGGGUGACCGGCAACAUUGGGACUGAGAUACGGCCCAGACUCCUACGGGAGGCAGCAGUGGGGAAUAUUGCACAAUGGGCGGAAGCCUGAUGCAGCAACGCCGCGUGCGGGAUGACGGCCUUCGGGUUGUAAACCGCUUUCGCCUGUGACGAAGCGUGAGUGACGGUAAUGGGUAAAGAAGCACCGGCUAACUACGUG
rnacentral:rRNA from 1 species